rfam:Ophiophagus hannah scaffold1877.1, whole genome shotgun sequence.
GGGUGUGUGAGUGAUGUGGUGAUGACAGCUGAUACCACAUUAAUGGCCAAGAUUGAUUUGACGUAUCUGGAUGGCAAAAAGGAAGUGCCCUUCCUCCAUUCACUGCUCCAUGAACAUCUAUCCCAAAGCUGUGCACUCAAUGGAAGAAUUCCACCGUUACAGAUAGGAGUUUACAGAUAGGAGGAUCUUCACUCAAAAGUAUACAACAGCUUUGCUGCCCUGAUAGAAUCUGAAAGCAAGUUCAGUGUCCGAACUGAAAUAGAAUAAAAUUGGAGAUAAGGCAGGCUCAGUUCUCCGUAUGGGUUACAGAGUAAUCUCUGCUUGCAGGAAGUUGGCAUCU